UACGGAGGGGACUAGCGUUGUUCGGAAUUACUGGGCGUAAAGCGCACGUAGGCGGAUUGUUUAGUCAGGGGUGAAAUCCCGAGGCUCAACCUCGGAACUGCCUUUGAUACUGGCAAUCUCGAGUCCGGAAGAGGUGAGUGGAAUUCCUAGUGUAGAGGUGAAAUUCGUAGAUAUUAGGAAGAACACCAGUGGCGAAGGCGGCUCACUGGUCCGGUACUGACGCUGAGGUGCGAAAGCGUGGGGAGCAAACAGGG
rnacentral:rRNA from 1 species